CGGCCGUCGGCAGUGGCUCGGUGGCCAGCGAGGCGGCCCGAUGCCUGGCCUGGUGGCGUUCCGGCGCCGCUGGAGUAUCGGCAGUGAUGACCUGGCCGUGCCCGGCGCCUUCUUCUUUCUGCUGCACGCCAUCUGGCUGACGGUGCUCUCUGUGGCGCUGGCCGUGUCCGACCUGAGCUCGGAGGUGCCCUGUCAGAGCCAACUGUGGGAGUACAUCCUCGGCUACCUCAUCAUCCUCAGCGGAUGUCUCUUGCUGGAGGCGUGCAUCGUCGGCGUCAGCAUGCGCGGCUCCAUCCUGGAGACGGCGCCGCGAGAGGCCACCCAGUACCUCAUCUACAUCAGACUCGGUGUGAUGGUGGUCGAGAUGGCCUGGCUGGUGGUGGGUGUCAUCUGGCUGGUCAAGUACUACCACUCGUGUCAGGCGCCCACCGCCAAGGAGGCUCUCAUAGGCGCCGUCAUCUGCAACUGGAUCUCCGUGACGAGCGCCUUCAUCAUGGUGUGGUGUACGUUCGACCCUGCCGGCCGGUCCUGGGUCAAAAUGAAAAACUACCAGCGCACUAUGAAGGACGGCCAGAAAAAGUACCAGUACAAACGGUCCGGCAGCCACCACAGAAACUGGCGGCAACGGAAGGUGCUGCGGGCCUACCGCGACUCGUGGGAUAACCGGUGUCGGAUGCUCUUCUGCUGUAUGGACCGGUCGGACCGAAACCAGAACUCGUUCGCCGAUAUCGCUCAGCUUCUGUCCGAGUUCUUCCGCGACCUGGACGUAGUGCCCUCGGACAUCAUCGCCGGCCUGGUGCUGCUGCGGCGCGUCCAGAAACUCGAGAGGAACAACAUCGUCAAAUCGAACUCGAACGACACGUACGAGUUUCUGUCGGGUGUGAAGGUGACGCCGGCCUCGACGUUCCUGGCGCUGAACCAGCCCGACCAGCUGGCCUUCUUCAAGGAUGUCAUCCACUACAUGAGGCUGGCCAUGUCCAUCUACGGCUGGCCCGUGUUCAUGAUGCAGCACUCCAGCACGGGCUGCUGCCGGCUCUGCCCCUACCUCAAGGGCGGCUGUCGGCGGCCGGCCACCACGGCCGAGGUAGUCGAGGACAACUGCUGCCUCUGUAACACGGCGGCCACCCAGCGGAUGGCGCCGCUGGACGAGCUCGAGCUGGUGUACGUCACCUACCAUGUGGAUGUCGGUGAGACGCCGUUCAUGGUGGCCGUGGAUCACCAGAGGUGCACGGUGAUCGUCUGCAUCCGAGGAACAAUGUCCACUAAGGACGUAGUGACGGACCUGGAGUGUGAGGGUGAGCCGAUUCCGACCACUCCUCUGCGGGACGACUGGCUCGGACACAGGGGCAUGGUGCAGACGGCCCACUACAUCCGCGACAAGCUGGCCUCAGAGCGGCUGCUGGAGCGCGCCUUCUCGCGGGCGGCGGCCGGCGCGGGCGCGGGGGCGGCCAGCUACCGGCUGGUGCUGGUGGGCCAUUCGCUGGGCGCUGGCACGGCCGCCAUCCUGGCCAUCCUGCUGCGCGACCAGUACCCGGAGCUGCGCUGCUUCGCCUACUCGCCGCCCGGCGGACUGCUCAGUAUGCCGGCGGUGGAGUACACGAAGGAGUUCAUCACCUCCGUGGUGGUGGGGAAGGACGUGGUGCCCCGCAUCGGACUCCACCAGCUGGAGCAGCUGCGCUCCGACCUGAUGGACGUCAUCAAACACAGCAAACAGUCCAAGUGGCGGGUUAUUGGCGGCGGUAUGUCGUGCUGCGGCUGCUGCUGCUCCGAGGAGGAGGCCUCCUCGGCCGCCUGCGGUGACCUGGUGCAGCGGCGGCUGGCCGGUCGGCAGCUGUCCGCCGCUCAUCCGAGCGACUCGACCAUCGCGCUGACCGUGCACCAGCCGCUCUACCCUCCCGGCCGGGUGAUGCACAUUGUGCGGCACCACCCCGAGCACCACGGCGGUGACAAGAAGGUGCGCCGCGGCGAGCCGGUGUACCAGGCCAUCUGGGUGGAGAACGACUCCUUUGACGAGGUGCUCAUCUCGCCGGUGAUGAUCCAGGACCACAUGCCGGACAAGGUGUUACAGGCGCUCCAGAAGUUUCUGGCCGCUCGUGUGGCUGCGACGGCCUUCUCCACGGCGGCAGCGCCUGCUUCGUCUCACGGCCGGCCGGUCGGCGCCGCCGACAGCUCUGGGGACCGCGACACGGGACACAUCAACAGCGGAGCCAGUCAGAUGGACGCUGAGACCGCUGACGUGAACUUCACGUGUGGACCGCGGCCGGAGACUGAUGGUGGAACCGGUGACGGCGAUCCUAACCUGCCGGCCGCUGCCGCUCGAGUCAACCCCGAGGAAGUCUCGGUCGAUCUUCACGGCUGUCAGACCGCUGCGUCAGGAUCACCCAGUCGGAGUGAUGUUGCACCCUGCACCAAGCGGCGCGGGAGUCGAAGAGUGUCGGCUGCUGGGGCUGACUCCUCUGAACCCGGUUGGUACCGAGUGGAGACUGAGGGAGCUCCUUUACCGUCUAACCGUGGGGUGGAGCCGCCAGCGGAGUGUGGGGUGUCUGACUCUGAUGCGAGGAAUGAACACCCUGCCGCCGCGGACAGUGACGAUAAAGAGACUGGUAACAGCGGUGAGAGUAGUGAAUGGGAAAGGAGCGCUGCCGACAGUGCCAGUACCGGGAGUCCUGUAAACGGCGACCUGCCUCGGCUAUCUGACGGGUCGGACUGUCAGUCUGGCCCGGACGACACUCUAAGACUGGACAAUACCGAGUGUGUGGCUAAGGCGGGUGUGGAGGGGAAUCAGGACCAGCCCAGACCAGUCCCUACAACCAAAGCUCCUCCACCGGACGGCGAGGAGGGCGAGCUCGACUCCGACGCCAGCAGCGAGUUGUCGGAGCUGAGCGCUGAUCUGGCGGCCGAGACGGACUCGUGGCGGCGACGACAGACCGAGCGGGCCCGGCCCGGUGUGGAGUGUAGCUGGGUAUGACGAGACCGGCUCUACAGACCGAUCGAGGAGGAGGACCCGCCCGGAGAGAUCAGGUUCGGUCCUGAGCUGCGUGGGUCCGGCCAAGCCGGUCCGGUCGGGGGCCAGCCAUCUGCGUGGCGCCUCUGAGGAGCGGCGUCCGCUGGUGUCGUCUCCGCUGCUGGCUGCCGCCCCCGCCGCCGCCGCCGCCCCGGCCACCGUCAGCCAGCACCGGCUGCAGCUGGAGACCAGUUUCGACUGCGAGUUCGCGCCGCCGCCGCCGCCGCCUCCUCCGUUCGAGGACACGGUGUCAGUGAGCACCCUGCAGCUGGUGUGGACGGGUCGGCGGCCAUGUCCGCCCACUCCGCCCAUCAGUGGCUUGCCGGGCCGCGCGGGCCAGCCGGCGCCGCUGGCCUCUCCGGACACUGUGAGCGAGGCGUCCAGCUCCGGCGGCGGCAGCCUGCUGCGGGAAGUGCUGCGCGCCGCCGCGCUGCCGCGGCGCCGACCCCUCUCGGUCAUCAGUCAGUCGCCGGGCGCUGACGAGCCGAGCGGCAGCGGCGGCGGCGGCGACGGCGGCUGGUCGGAGGCGACCACCCCCGAGGAGCCGCGAGACACUCUGCUGCCGCUAGAGGCGGUACCACCCGGCGGAAAACAGCGGCCCCCACAGCCGUCCGGCGACUCGGGCUUCGUCAACGGCGGCUCGUCGGCCAGCGAGCCAUGGUUCGUGACGCCGCGUACUUCGGGCGCCGCCCACUUUGUGUUCCCCGGCGAGCCGGGAGCGGACUGCGAGGUGUUCCUACCGGGGGAGACGCCCGGCCGGCCGGCACCCUCGGCCGUCUGAGACAGACCGGCCGCCGCGGCCACUGCGGCACGUGCAAUCCGCCCACCAGGCGACCAAUAUGCGCUUCAACUUCGACCAAAGAGUGAGGGUGAGUGAGCGAGAGAGGUAUGUGAGGGGUGAGUGAUCUGAACGGCAGAGUGCUGGGGUAGGGAGGGAGGGUCGAGCUCGACCCGGCAGGUUCUGUUGUACCUUGUCCUUUGUACUCGCGUGGUGAGCGGAGCACCCCCGUGUCGGGGGACGGACUCGGCUUUGCUCGGUGCUCCGGGCUGUCGCGUCUCCGGGUCAGCGGCGUCCGACGGCCGCCACCUGCCAGUCAGUCAUAUCUCCUUUUCAACUCAGUCCGCGCGCCGGCGUGUCUGCGCUGACGUCACCGCCGGUAUGACGUCACCCAUCGACUGUGUCUCAUCAUGACAGUGCGUGCGCUGUGCUAGCGAUCGUGCGCUGUUGGCAAAUGCCGGCGUCACUCGGCAGCCGCGCAGUGCAUUUUCCACUAUUCAAUGGUAUGAGAGUGUGUUUGUACUUGCCGCAGCCACCAGUGUGUAUUUAUUUCGGGAGGGGAGGGUCGUGUGUCCUGUCACCUGUGGGGUCAUUGCUGAGACUGAGUGUCACACUUGGUCGAAGGGGGGGGGGGACAGAAUGGGAGGGAACCUGUGCCAAAACUCAGAGCUCUCCGGGCCGGCGGGGGGUCUCGGCUUGUUGGCCGGUCGGUAAGGGGACUGAGUCGCGAGUUAUAGCGAUUCGAUCUCCCCGUCAAACCAGAUUCCCGGGCCCUCCAGCGGACCGCCGCCGGACCGCAAACCUUUCGCCAUGACAGUGCGUACCAAAUAAACUAUUUACACAAACGA
rnacentral:misc_RNA from 1 species